rnacentral:rRNA from 1 species
UACGGAGGGUGCUAGCGUUGUUCGGAUAUACUGGGCGUAAAGCGCACGUAGGCGGCGCCGUAAGUCAGGGGUGAAAUCCCGGAGCUCAACUCCGGAACUGCCCUUGAAACUGCAGUGCUAGAAUCUUGGAGAGGCGAGUGGAAUUCCGAGUGUAGAGGUGAAAUUCGUAGAUAUUCGGAAGAACACCAGUGGCGAAGGCGACUCGCUGGACAAGUAUUGACGCUGAGGCGCGAAAGCGUGGGGAGCAAACAGG